GACAUAGGUCGCAAACGUUAUCCGGAAUUAUUGGGCCUAAAGCAUCCGUAGCCGGUUCUGCAAGUCUUCCGUUAAAUCCACCUGCUUAACAGAUGGGCCGCGGAAGAUACUAUAGAGCUAGGAGGCGGGAGAGGCAAGCGGUACUCGAUGGGUAGGGGUAAAAUCCGUUGAUCCAUUGAAGACCACCAGUGGCGAAGGCGGCUUGCCAGAACGCGCUCGACGGUGAGGGAUGAAAGCUGGGGGAGCAAACCGG
rnacentral:rRNA from 1 species